UUAACACCUGAUAGAGAAAGCCCAAAGGAAUUGGUGCGCAUCAUCAAUGAUGUUCUUGCAGAAUUUUCUGAUCACGUGAGGAACAUUAACCUAAUCGACCUUCUUACAAGGGACAUUGUUGGUCUCAUUUGAACACAUUUGGAGAUCUUUUGCAUGACGUGGGCAAAGAUUGAAAAGCAACAGUUUGAACAUCUCACUGUUCAGCAACUAGAUGGUGAACUAAGACGUAUCUUGGCUUCUGAAAAUAAAUUGCACCCAGCAUUAUUUUCCAUUGAAGCUGAGCACAAGGUUUUACAACAUGUAAUGGAUUGACUUAUCUCUUUUACCUUCGAGCCUGAACAUCUGCAAUGCUCAUUUAUCAGAUGCAUUGUCAGGGAGCUUCUUGCCUAUGUAGUGAUGAGACGAGUCCUGAACUUAGCUAACCCAAGGCAACUAUCUCUUAGCUUUUAUUAAUAUACGGCCCCUAAUUUCGUCUA